rnacentral:lncRNA from 13 species
AUGCAUUUGGAGAACAAAGUGUGCUUUGUACACUUGCUGAUGCCAUUUGUAGCUGGGAAGAACUUUCUCGGAUUGCUUUGGAAUGAUGAAGAGUGUGUCUCUCAUCCAAGAACUGAAAUGAUACCUUCAGGAAAAGCCCCAGAUCCUUCUGGCCUCCACCCAGCAAUCCUUCUCUGGAGAAGCCAGGAUUCAGUGGAAAUUCAGCAACGGUGAGCACUUGACUUAUUCCCCUAGGGAUAUGGCGCAUUAGUCACCCCAUAAACAUUU